AUGAGCCGCCGCUUGCAUGAAAGAGAACAUGUUGAAGAAGAUCGAAGCAACGAAGGUGAUGAUUUUCGUUGGAGUUUGAAGCAAAGAUCGAAGGAGAUAGAGGUGGCUUUGUUCGUUUCACGGAGGAGGCGCAAUUUUACACCGCUCAUAAGAGUAUUGCGCGCCUCUCAGCUUCGGUUUCGAUGCAUCUUAACUUUUGGAUUUCGAAGCCGCGAUUUGACCGUGUCUGCACCUCAACUUCAUCUUUGGAAUUCAAAGAUUGGAGAUGUUGUUAACGAUGUUGCAGUAGAUAGAUGA